rnacentral:rRNA from 1 species
AUCAGAGUGCUUCAAACAGGCGUUUUCGCUUGAAUGAUCGUGCAUGGAAUAAUAGAAACGAUUUCGGUUCAGUUUUAUUGGUUUUACGGACUGAGAUAAUGGUUAACAGAGACAAACGGGGGCAUUUGUAUGGCCCCGUGAGAGGUGAAAUUCUUGGACCGUGGCCAGACAAACUACAGCGAAAGCAUUUGCCAAGAAUGUCUUCAUUAAUCAAGAACGAAAGUCAGAGGUUCGAAGGCGAUCAGAUACCGCCCUAGUUCUGACCGUAAACGAUGCCAACUAGCGAUCCGCCGAUGGAAAUUAUAUUGCCUUGGUGGGGAGCUUCCCGGAAACGAAAGUCUUCCGGUUCCGGGGGAAGUAUGGUUGCAAAGCUGAAACUUAAAGGAAUUGACGGAAGGGCACCACCAGGAGUGGAGCCUGCGGCUUAAUUUGACUCAACACGGGGAAACUCAUCCGGCCCGGACACUGUGAGGAUUGACAGAUUGAUAGCUUUUUCAUGAUUCAGUGGAUGGUGGUGCAUGGCCGUUCUUAGUUCGUGGAGUGAUUUGUCUGGUUUAUUCCGAUAACGAGCGAGACUCUAACCUACUAAAUAGUUGGUACAUACUCUUAGUGUAUACAGCUUCUUAGAGGGAUUUGCGGUGUUCAGCCGAAAGAAAUUGAGCAAUAACAGGUCUGUGAUGCCCUUAGAUGUCCGGGGCUGCACGCGCGCUACACUGGCAAAAUCAACGUGCUUGUCCUACCCCGAAGGGGGCGGGUAAACCAUUGAAAAUUUGCCGUGAUUGGGAUCGGAAAUUGCAAUUAUUUUCCGUGAACGAGGAAUUCCAAGUAAGUGCGAGUCAUCAGCUCGCGUUGAUUACGUCCCUGCCCUUUGUACACACCGCCCGUCGCUGCCCGGGACUGAGCCAUUUCGAGAAAUUUGGCCAUUUCGAGAAAUUUCCCCCUAAUACAUAUAAGAUUCAACUACUUAAACUACUUAAAAAA